GGCGGAAUUGGUAGACGCGCUAGGUUGAGGGCCUAGUCCCCGAUAAGGGGGUGGGGGUUCGAGUCCCCCC
rnacentral:tRNA from 1 species